GACAGAGGGUGCAAACGUUGUUCGGAAUUACUGGGCGUAAAGCGCGUGUAGGCGGCCAAGCAAGUCGGAUGUGAAAUCCCCGGGCUUAACCUGGGAAUGGCAUUUGGGACUGCAAGGCUCGAGUGCGGCAGAGGAGACUGGAAUUCCUGGUGUAGCGUGAAAUGCGCAGAUAUCAGGAAGAACACCAAUGGCGAAGCAGCU
rnacentral:rRNA from 1 species